AUAUCAGUCAUGCAUAGCAUAUCAAUAAGCGGAGGAAAAGAAACUAACAAGGAUUCCCCUAGUAACGGCGAGUGAAGCGGGAAGAGCUCAAAUUUGAAAUCUUAAAGGGUUUCCCUUUACGAAUUGUAGUUUAAAGAAGUGUUUUCUGUUGAGGUUUUGGUAAAAGUUCUUUGGAAUAGGACAUCAUAGAGGGUGAGAAUCCCGUAUUUGACCUUUACUUUCAACUUUGUGAUACACUUUCAAAGAGUCGGAUUGUUUGGGAAUGCAGUCCAAAAUGGGUGGUAAAUUUCAUCUAAAGCUAAAUAUUGGCGAGAGACCGAUAGCGAACAAGUACCGUGAGGGAAAGAUGAAAAGAACUUUGAAAAGAGAGUUAAACAGUACGUGAAAUUGUCAAAAGGGAAGCGUUUGACACCAGUGUUGUUUUUCUGAAAAUCAAUUAAAGAACUGUUUAUGCUAAGCUGUUUAGACUUUAUCAGCUAUCUGUUUAGUUUUGAGCUUUUCUUUAAUGCACUUUUCAGUUAACAAGUCAACAUCAAUUUCUUUUGCUGUAAAAAAGCUUGAGGAAGGUGGCUUGAGAUUCGUCUUAAGUGUUUAUAGCCUCUUGCCUAUGCAGUCGGAGAGAUUGAGGUACUGCAGCGUAGAUCCUUCGGGGCUAAAUGCAUUUGUGCUAAGUUAUAGCAUUUUAUAGACAACUUGUUGACUAUGAUUUGUCUUGUAGCUUACUCGCUUAUGUUAUUUUACCUACGCUUAGGAUGUUGACGCGCGUGUGUGCGUG
rnacentral:rRNA from 1 species